rnacentral:rRNA from 1 species
AUUGAACGCUAGCGGGAUGCUUUACACAUGCAAGUCGAACGAGUGGCGGACGGGUGAGUAAUAUAUCGGAGCGUGCCCAGUAGGUGGGGGUAGCUACUCGAAAGGUUGGCUAGUACCGCAUACGAUUGGAGCGGCCGAUAUCGGAUUAGCUAGUGGGUGGGGUAAAGGCUCACCAAGGCAACGAUCCGUAGCUGGUUUGAGAGGACGACCAGCCACACUGGGACUGAGACACGGCCCAGACUCCUACGGGAGGCAGCAGUGGGGAAUUGUGGACAAUGGGGGAAACCCUGAUCCAGCCAUACCGCGUGUAUGAGAAGGCCUUCGGGUUGUAAAGUACUUUUGGCAGAGAAGCGGUAUCUGCAGAAUAAGCAACGGCUAACUACGUGCCAGCCGCCGCGGUAAUUC